UACGUAGGGUGCAAGCGUUGUCCGGAAUUACUGGGUGUAAAGGGUCCGCAGGCGGGCAAGCAAGUCGGUGGUGAAAUCUCACGGCUCAACCGUGAAACGGCCGUCGAUACUGCUUGUCUUGAGUUCGAGAGAGGAUGAUGGAAUUCAUGGUGUAGCGGUGAAAUGCGUAGAGAUCAUGAAGAACACCAGUAGCGAAGGCGGUCAUCUGGCUCGAUACUGACGCUCAGGGACGAAAGCGUGGGGAGCAAACAGG
rnacentral:rRNA from 1 species